rnacentral:siRNA from 1 species
GGAUGAAUAGUGUCGUCAGGUA